CCAAUAGCGUAUAUUAAAGUUGUUGCAGUUAAAAAGCUCGUAGUUGAAUUUCGGGAUCAGAUUGUCGGUCGUGCCUCGGUACGCACUGGCAUUAUUGGUUCCUACCUUCUGAAGAACCGCGAUGUCAUUAAUUUGGUGUCGUGGGGAAUCAGGACUGUUACUUUGAAAAAAUUAGAGUGUUUAAAGCAGGCGCACGCUUGAAUACAUUAGCAUGGAAUAAUGAAAUAGGACGUUUGAUUCUAUUUUGUUGGUUUCUAGGAUCGACGUAUUGAUUAAUAGGGAUAGUUGGGGGCAUUAGUAUUCAAUUGUAAGAGGUGAAAUUCUUGGAUUUAUUGAAGACUAACUACUGCGAAAGCAUUUGCCAAGGAUGUUUUCAUUAAUCAAGAACGAAAGUUAGGGGAUCGAAGACGAUCAGAUACCGUCGUAGUCUUAACCAUAAACUAUGCCGACUAGGGAUCGGAUGAUGUUGAUUUUAUAAUGACUCAUUCGGCGCCUUACG
rnacentral:rRNA from 1 species